rnacentral:rRNA from 1 species
CAUUACUGAAGAAAUAGGGUUUUUGAGACUGCCACUGAUGGUGUGCUCGACCCUUACUCUUUAUCCACACACACCUUUGUGCACCAUGGGACGAAAGUCCCCCUUUUCACAAACACAAGUUAUAUGCAUGUUUUUUCAUACUCUACGGAGUAUAUUGUAACAACUUUCAACAACGGAUCUCUUGGCUUUCGCAUCGAUGAAGAACGCAGCGAACGUGCGAAACGUAAUGUGAAUUGCAGAAUUCAGUGAAUCAUCGAAUCUUUGAACGCAUCUUGCGCUCCUUGGCAUUCCGAGGAGCAUACCUGUUUGAGUGUCGUGAAGUACUCUCGAUUUCAAUCUUUUUGUUUGAAAUCGGAUUUGGGUGUUGUCGUGAGCCUCACGACUCAUCCUAAAUGCAUUAGCGAAUCUAUUUGAUCACACGCAAUGUGAUAAUAACAAAGCAUUGUUACGAUUAAGUCAGAGUUGCUUCCAACCGUCGAAAGACAAACACUUUGUGUCAUUUUGACCUCAGAUCAGGUAGGACUACCCGCUGAACUUAAGCAUAUCAAUA